GAUGAACGCUGGCGGCGUGCCUAAUACAUGCAAGUCGAGCGAACGGACGAGAAGCUUGCUUCUCUGAUGUUAGCGGCGGACGGGUGAGUAACACGUGGAUAACCUACCUAUAAGACUGGGAUAACUUCGGGAAACCGUAGCUAAUACCGGAUAAUAUUUUGAACCGCAUGGUUCAAAAGUGAAAGACGGUCUUGCUGUCACUUAUAGAUGGAUCCGCGCUGCAUUAGCUAGUUGGUAAGGUAACGGCUUACCAAGGCAACGAUGCAUAGCCGACCUGAGAGGGUGAUAGGCCACACUGGAACUGAGACACGGUCCAGACUCCUACGGGAGGCAGCAGUAGGGAAUCUUCCGCAAUGGGCGAAAGCCUGACGGAGCAACGCCGCGUGAGUGAUGAAGGUCCUCGGAUCGUAAAACUCUGUUAUUAGGGAAGAACAUAUGUGUAAGUAACUGUGCACAUCUUGACGGUACCUAAUCAGAAAGCCACGGCUAACUACGUG
rnacentral:rRNA from 1 species